CGUUCAUUUCAAGGUCAUGUGGAUCAUAGGAUACCUACCCCUCCGAAAACAAGUGGGGUGGGCGGUCAGAGUCGAUGGCUCUAACCAGAGGCUCGAAUAUUUAGAGAGAGAGAACAGCUCGAGUUUCAGAGAGAAAAUUAGGGUUUCUUGGUUGUUGAGUUUGUGCAAAGCUAGGCUUUUCUAGAGGAUACACAAAAUCUAGGGUUUGAGAGAGUGGAGAACGCUGCGUUUAAGUGAUCGAAACAGAGAGGAAAAGCUAGGGUUUUAGAGAACGAGAAGAUGUUGGAGCUCUUUCUGCUUGGUUGUACUGGUGUGGUGGUUUUCCUCCAUGGAGCUAAUUUCUUCUUCCAUUUUCUCGCUCAACAUGUUGCUGUUCGAUCACUGAGUUUUCUUGGAUUUGGUGGAUGGUAGAAGAAAUGAAGUUGGGUUGUAGGCUCAUGCGCCACCCCUAUUUAUUGCUACAUGCCUCAGCACAAAUGUAAAUAUUGCUUGCUUCUCUACGUAAUAAAACACCCUUUACAAAAGCAGGGAAGUGAGAGGGUUUCGGUUUAAUACGAGAUGCAUUUUGAGAAAUAAAGAUUGUUUUUUGCUCA